rnacentral:lncRNA from 1 species
CUCCGGAGAGCUGUGUGCCGUGCUAUCCUGGGUCUUUCUGCGCUAGCAUUGGUUUGAGUUCUCCAACAGGACCUUGUACUGAGGGAUUUUACUGCCCAGCAAACUUCAGCUCCUUCAGCCCCACAGCAUUUCUCUGCCCUAAGGGUCACUUCUGCCAGUUAGGAGCAGCCCAUCCAACACCAUGCCCUGCUGGGGAGUAUCAGCCAGCCAGGGGCUCUGCGUCCUGCAUUCCAUGCCAGAGAGGGUUCUACUGCCAGGAGCUGGUGGCUGGAGACCCCAAGAGCUGCCCACCACAUACUUACUGUCCUACAGGCACACAGUUUCCUCAGACAUGUCCUGAAGGCACUUUUACUCCUC